AGCAAAGAAGAAAAAUACAGAAACAGGACACUCUCCACAAACACAUUAGAAUACAUAGAGAACAAAAACAACUUGUCUGUUCUGAAUGUGGUAAAAGAUUCGGACCAAAGAGCAAGUUGAACACACACAUGAUAAUUCAUACAGGUCAAAAACAAUUUGGCUGUUCUGAAUGUGG